GAUGAACGCUAGCGGCAGGCUUAAUACAUGCAAGUCGAGGGGCAGCAUGAUUGUAGCAAUACAAUUGAUGGCGACCGGCAAACGGGUGCGGAAUACGUACACAACCUCCCAAUAAGUGGGGAAUAGCCCAGAGAAAUUUGGAUUAAUACCCCGUAACAUCACGAUGUUGCAUGACAUUGUUAUUAUAGAUUGUUCGCUUAUUGAUGGGUGUGCGGCUGAUUAGAUAGUUGGCGGGGUAAUGGCCCACCAAGUCUACGAUCAGUAGCUGAUGUGAGAGCAUGAUCAGCCACACGCGCACUGAGACACGGGCCCGACUCCUACGGGAGGCAGCAGUAAGGAAUAUUGGACAAUGGACGCAAGUCUGAUCCAGCCAUGCCGCGUGAAGGAUUAAGGUCCUCUGGAUUGUAAACUUCUUUUAUAAGGGACGAAAAAAGGCUUUUCUAAGUCGUCUGACGGUACUAUAAGAAUAAGCACCGGCUAACUCCGUGCCAGCCGCCGCAGUAAUAC
rnacentral:rRNA from 1 species